UCCAGACUCCUACGGGAGGCAGCAGUGGGGGAUAUUGCACAAUGGGGGGAACCCUGAUGCAGCGACGCCGCGUGGGUGAAGGAGCGUUUCGGCGCGUAAAGCCCUAUCGGCAGGGAAGAAGGAGGACGGUACCUGACUAAGAAGCCCCGGCUAACUACGUGCCAGCAGCCGCGGUAAUACGUAGGGGGCAAGCGUUAUCCGGAUUUACUGGGUGUAAAGGGGGCGCAGACGGCAGCGCAAGCCAGGAGUGAAAGCCCGGGGCCCAACCCCGGGACUGCUCUUGGAACUGCGCGGCUGGAGUGCAGGAGGGGCAGGCGGAAUUCCUGGUGUAGCGGUGAAAUGCGUAGAUAUCAGGAGGAACACCGGUGGCGAAGGCGGCCUGCUGGACUGCGACUGACGUUGAGGCCCGAAAGCGUGGGGAGCAAACAGGAUUAGAUACCCCAGUACAG
rnacentral:rRNA from 1 species